rnacentral:rRNA from 1 species
CACGGGGGGAGCAAGCGUUGUUCGGAAUCACUGGGCGUAAAGGGCGGGUAGGCGGGCAGGUAAGUGAGACGUGAAAUGCCCCGGCUUACCCGGGGACCUGCGUCUCAUACUGCUUGGCUUGAGUACGGGAGAGGGUGUGGGAAUUCCUGGUGUAGCGGUGAAAUGCGUAGAUAUCAGGAAGAACACCAAUGGCGAAGGCAGCUCUCUGGGACGGUACUGACGCUGAGACGCGAAAGCGUGGGGAGCGAACAGG